UCAACGCUAAUCAAACUGUUCAAGAAACUUACUUACCUUCCCUUGGUGCUUCAGGAUCCCAUGCUGACCACAUCUGUACGGAGAAAAACGGAGUCCAGCACACUAUAUAAGCCAGUUUCCACCUGGCAGAGUUGGUGUAAAGCAGAGUCCUAGAUGUGGAGAACCUCCUUUUGCUCUCACUCGAUUCGCACUGAAUGGAGCGCGUCACGAUAUCACCACUUAUACAUCUUCUCAAUGGCUCUCUUUACCAAAACGUACCCAGGACUUCCACUAGGGGUCCGUGUGCUCUAUUGCAAAUCAGCCUUAUCACACUCCAUCAACUGAAUGCCCGAGUCCUGAACUGCGUCAGCGUCUCUCAGUGGACGCGCUGCAUACCAGUGUCAGGAGGAUUUCUGAAAGUCAACACGCUUACAAAAUAGUGCCGGCCAAGGAAGGACAUCAACCAUCAGUUACGGAAAUUACAUAACUUAUUAAUGUCAGGCGAUAACGUUUUCAUAACUUAUAAUGGAAAGUAAAUGCAUUGGUUUUGUUGUUACACUUUUAAAUGUAGGUAUGUUUCUUAUUAUGAACAAACAAUGAACAGAUGUGUUUUGUGUGUGUGUGUGUGUGUGUGUGUGUGUGUGUGUGUGUGUGUGUGUGUGUGUGUGUGUGUGUGUGUGUGUGUGUGUGUGUUGUACAUGCAGAUCACAUUGCCCUCGAAAUGUUGCUAAACUGUCUGUGAUAGUCACAAUGGAGAGGAUUAGAAUAUGUAAGUCAUUUGAAUGGACUACAAUAGUUCAAAGUAUGAAUAAGAAAGAAAAACUCUAUACGAUAAGAUCACCAAAUCAUCAUUAAAGACUGACACUGUGCAAUCCAUCGACUGUGCUAAAUCGCCCACUUUGCUGUCAUUCAUAACACCCAAUGGUGGAAUGUCCCCAAUGUGUCAAACUGGUCAGCUUCAAGAGGAAUAAAUCACUCCAUGCUACAUCAACCUUCAUGUUUUCCAGCCAAACUAGUGCACUGGUAUCUCACCAUCACUCAUUUGUUUGGACAUCACAGAACCUCAGACAUCCCAUGUGGACAUUGCAAGAAAAUGGUUUGUUCAACUCCGAUAAUCUAACAUCUUAGCUUUUAAACCAUGUGCUAUCAUGGCCACCAGACCUGAAAGGAAAGGAUGUUGUGCGAAAUGAAUGACGUUCUAUUGUAUGGCAAGUUCAUUUGCAUUAAAUGACUUUGCAUUAUUAUGUUCAAAACAAAACUUCUGCCUCCUUUGGUGAAAAUAUGCAUAAGCCAGCUGCCUCAUAUAGCAAGUAGGUUCAAAGAAUCCUUGUCGCAGUGCUGAGAGAAAUCUUAC